rnacentral:sRNA from 1 species
AAAAAUGUGUUUCUCUUAAUCAGGCCUACUUUCCCCACUCCCAAACAAUGAUACAUCUUCUCCAAGCGUUGGAUGUGGCCAAUCGGCUAGAAGUGAUUCCUAAAAUUUGGAAAGUAAAGAAUAUGGUCAUACUUUCCGCAGUGACCUGAGAGAAGAGAUCCUGAUGCUCAUGGCAAGGGACAAGCACCCACCAGAGCUUCAGGUGGCAUUUGCUGACUGUGCUGCUGAUAUCAAAUCUGCGUAUGAAAGCCAACUCAUCAGACAGACUGCUCAGGAUUGGCCAGCCACCUCUCUCAACUGUAUAGCUAUCCUCUUUUUAAGGGCUGGGAGAACUCAGGAAGCCUGGUGAGUACAGUACCACAAGUAUACACUUUAGAAGCUUUUGUAUUUGAAUCUAAAACAUUGGCCCACGCUGGUAGAGGUUCUUUCAUUUGGCCAUAUAACAAGUAUUUGAUUCGGGAACUUGCAAAUACCAACUAAAAAGCAAACUUUUGGAAGAAGACAGUAUGCAUGAUGUAGUUGAGAUAAGGCAUAGUUCUCUCAAACCAUAGGCUGA